GCCGAAGUGGUGGAAUUGGUAGACGCGCCGGAUUCAAAAUCCGGUUUCCGCAAGGAAGUGAGAGUUCGAGUCUCUCCUUCGGCACCA
rnacentral:tRNA from 1 species